GAUGAAGAACGUAGUGAAAUGCGAUACGUAGUGUGAAUUGCAGAAUUCAGUGAAUCAUCGAAUCUUUGAACGCACAUUGCGCCCGCCAGUAUUCUGGCGGGCAUGCCUGUUCGAGCGUCAUUACAACCCUCAGGCCCCCGGGCCUGGCGUUGGGGAUCGGCGGAGCCCCCCGUGGGCACACGCCGUCCCCCAAAUACAGUGGCGGUCCCGCCGCAGCUUCCAUCGCGUAGUAGCUAACACCUCGCGACUGGAGAGCGGCGCGGCCACGCCGUAAAACACCCAACUCUUCUGAAGUUGACCUCGAAUCAGGUAGGAAUACCCGCUGAACUUAAGCAUAUCAAUAAGCGGAGGA
rnacentral:misc_RNA from 1 species